UUGGCACGGCUGCGUGUAUUAUCUAAAGGUAUAAUAGAUGCCACCCCAUGGGGGUUUCACAGCGAUUAACGUUUCUGGACCAUCGGAUAUUUACAGUGGUUGUCAGAUGUUAGAUCUCAUCCGUCCAUUGUGGACAGCAGCGCGGCUUGCUGGUUGGUUGGAGAGCAUGUGCGCGUUCUCCCGUCGGUCCAUGCUGCUAGAGAAAGGCAUGAAAUGGCCACGUGUUACUCGCAUCUGACUGCACAUGGGUCCCACAGUUUCCCGGGUCCGUCCGUCAGUCGCUGCGGGUGGCUUUUAGGUUGGUCUCACCUUGAGCCGGCCGUGGAAAAGAUAUUCUCCUCGCGCGGGGUAGACUGGGGCUUUCCUUUCGACGGUGUGCUCGACUCGCUGGCGGCGUGCCAUUAGCACACGGGAGGAACUCUGCCUGUGCAAGGAGACAUAGAGCCGCGCGCCGUCGCCUCGCAGGGACGAUCCACCUCACUUUCCCCUCGCCUCUUCCGCUCCACCUUCGUCGUUCUCUCUUCCUCGCCUCGUCCGCUUGGUCGCUGCCCUGCAGAUCCGCCGUCGCCUGCGUCUUCCGCGCGCUCCGCCCACGUCCGUCGGUGGUGGCCGAUCUUAGCCCAUGGCGGUGCUCUGUCCUGGGUUGGGUUAAGGGUGCAGGGUGCCAUGCGCGGGCGGUUGAGCGGGCGAGCAGCUGAAGGGUGCUAUGUGUGUGGCGGCUGAUGCGGGAAAAGGAGCAGGCGAGGGAGGAUGAGGAUUUGCCAGCCGGCCAGAGGUCACGGUGUACCCGGCGACGGAAGGGCAGCCAUGGGCGGUCGGUUGGGCGGCGCACGAGAAUCUGCAGGCGGCUCACACUUUCCCACUCUCGCUGGGCUCCUCUCUCUCUGAUCUGGCCAUAGUGCUGCAAUGUUCCCAUAGAGAAGCAUCAGGACCAGCAGUGAAAAAAAUCCUUCAGAUGCACCGCAUCAACCAGUUGGAGACAGAUCAAGGGUCAAGGUCUGAGUGUUGGGAAACGCCACAAGAAGGGGAUUUGUAGGAUGAAGGACACAAACCAAGUACCACAGUGCGCGUAGUCGUGGGCAUCUAUGAAGGCGCUCCUCAGGCUGCUCGAGUGCAUCCUGUAGUAGCGAGGUCGACAUCCUGGUUUGGGGCGAGUACCAUGGCGGCGUGCCACAUCCCUGCAGGCAAGCUGGGCAGCAGCAUUUCCACGGGUGAUGGGUACAGAACAUGUAAGCAAGGAGAGGAGGAAUUAAAAAAAAAUACCAAUUUGGCCACAUAUUUGAUUUGAGAAGCAAGGGUGGCCUGGAGUCCAUAUUCAGGUUCUCGGUUGACGAGAACACCGUUGUGCCCGGCACCGGUCACAACCAUGGCCAUCAAGAAGAUCAAAUAGGAACGCUUACAGGAUGCUGAAAAUGUGCAACCUGAAUGGAACUGGCUCAGAUGAUGAGACCACUGUUGUGCUGGCCAGCCCCGACACCGGGAUGGUAAUCUUCAUGAAGAAACUCAAAUAGGAAGGCCUCCAUAGUGCAGGCAUUGACUUAUUGGUGUGAUAUUUCGGUGUAACUGUUGCCAUGCGGCUACAUCUGCACUACACUUUACAUAUCGAUGAACUAAUAGGUGAUUCCUGGAUUUGUAUUUCCAGUUAUAUGCUUUCAAAGAAGGAAAGCCUAAGUGAGCAUGGAGAAAGAUUUUGAAUAAUCUAUCUGCCAUAUCAUAAAUCUGUUAAAUGUGAAAUAUAUUUAUGUUACAGGUCUAAAGUCAAUAGCGCAUUUUAUAUAAUUCUACAACUCUUAACAACUCUAUUUUUUGUUGCAAGAUAUAACUUCCUUCUUCUAUACCAUAUCUUCAAUUUCAGAGGAGUGGCAAGGUACCAACAAAUCAACAUCUUGAUUCCAGUGCACAUGCAACAACUGAAUUUCAAUGUUUAUUAUAGGUUGGCUUGGUGAGAUGGGCAUGCCCUUUGUCUGGUUGCCCUGCUCCGCCUCAAGUGGCCUCCCACACUGCGUUCAUCCCUGGUUCGGCAUGGUCAUGUAAGACAUGGAUUUCUGUAACUCAUGCUGCUUGGUUCAUGGCCUCUUCGUAACAAGAAAUGAGUGGUUGUAUUCUUUGGUCGUGCAAGAUGUAUGAUGUAUGCUCAAUCAUUUUGAUUAUUUUUAAAAAAUUCUAGAAAAGGAGAGCAGAUGAGGAGCGAGGGUGUCGAGGCAAACAUCGUCACCUGGAACAUCGUGAUCCAUGGGUUGUGUAACUAGGAGGACAAAGGAGGCGGCCCAGCUCAACAGGGACAUGGUGGCGACAGGGGUGGAGACGAACACCACGUUGGUCAAUGGGUAUUAUUGGGCAUGUCGCAUGUGAUGUGGGGGAGGCCAUCAGGCUGCAAAGGGCCAAUGGGAACAUGGGAUUCUAAACAAAAUAGUGUACAUCUUAGCAUCGGUGAGCUCUUUUUUUCCUUCGGAUGUUUCUUACUGUUGUGGUGCAAAAAGUUAUGGCAAGUUUACUUUUUGGUGCAAAAAGUUAUGACAAGCCGAGGGUGUCAACUGCAGACAUUGUGAUACAUUUAAACGGACUUAUCGAGCUAGAGGACUGGUUGGAGAUGACAA